UGGAGCUGUUCCUAUUCGGCCAUCUUGCUCCGCCCCUCCUCCUAAGUUUUCAACCAAGAGAAGUGAAAAUCUGUUGACACAAAGGCCUGAAUAGCAUCCUUGAAAUGAUUGACUCAACCAUGAGAGAAACACUGUAAAUAUUCUCAGAUGCAAACUCACAGUACCAGCUUCACAGAACACCUGCAGGUGCAAGUAACUAAAAAUCCAGCUCAAUUUGACUUUAAAUACAAGGGAAUUUAUUGACUCAGGUGGGUAGUUCAGAAGCAGGCCAGGCUUCAGGGUGAAUCUGAGCACUGAAGCUCAUGGAUGCUACCAGGACUGUCUCUUCCCAAUUUUCUGCUCUGCCUUCAGUGAAGUCAGAAUAAUUCUGCGUGUGGCAAAAUCUUCAGGAACAAUUUCUGAGGUUGCAUUCUUCACCAAAGAGGGAACAUGAACAAGCACACUCUUGUUCCUAACAACCUAGCACAACUUGUAUUUGACUCUAAUUGGAACAACUCAGACCCUUGCCCAUCCCCAAGUCCAUUAGGGGGACCAAGGGAGUGCUGUGUGGCACCUGGCAUGAGCCUCAGUUAUGCACCCACUUUGGAACCAAUAACUGUGACACGGGGUGAGACAGUGCUGGUUAAGUCAACCAGGACCCACCCCAUGUUUCAAACCAUGUGACUGAAUAAUUCAAGGCUCUGUUAGGAAGGAGAAAGGGGGAUGUUUCUUAAAUAGCACCCAACACUCAACUACAAUUUAAUUUGACGGGAACCCGGAGGCGCUGCCAUAGAAAUCUCUCACAGUUGCUUGGAAUGAGAGCACUCAAUAUAAAAAUCCUAUGGUAGCAACCCUAUGGCCUCAAGGGCGCCACGCAGUUGGUGUGGAGGGUGGGGCAAGGAGGGUGGGGAAGGGCUCAGGGUCUUCGGAAGAUGAAGCCAAAGAACAGAUGGCACUGACUUAGCAGAGUGGAAAAUGUUUAACCCCAAGGGAUGCCUACAGAGGCAGCUAAGCCACACCACAGACUCCUAGAAGGGCUUGUGUUAGGGUUCCCAAGUAUCUAGGUAAGCUGAGGAGAUGGUGAGGCAGACACAGAGGGUCGGUUCAAAGCACAUUGGGAAGACUGUGAUCCCAAGACCCCUCAGUCCACACUGGCAGUCAAAUGCUCCUCCCUGACAUCGGAAAAAGAAACAAUUUAUUUUCUUCAGAUAUUGAAACAGAACUUUUCUAAGCUCCAGGACACUGGAUAAUGCUGCUUAUGCAAAGACAGUAUUUAGUGAAAGCCAGUUUACUGAGCAGGGAGAUCUGCAGACUCUUUCUCCCUCUUGGCUCCCAGAAUGCUGGGGUCAGCUUGCAGUCUUAGGAGACUGGCGACCUCUUUUUGGAGAGGAUCUGCAGAUACCAACAUUUUCAGGGUUUCCUCAGGUCCAGCAGUGCCAGGCUCCUGUGGGCUCUUCUUUUGGGGAAGCAAAAGAAGACUCCAUCUGUACACACAGAAUGCAUUAAUUAUAUUUUCUUAUUUUAUGUUUUCUUGAUGCUCUAGCAUCUGGUGUUUACUGGGAAAAGAUUGCCUUUCCCAGGGCCAGGCAAUUAAACUACCAAUUCAGAACCCAUACUCCUAACCACCUACUUUAGCUGGCUCUGAUACUGUAGGAGACAAUACCGCCCUUCCUUAAUCACCACAGGGUGAGGUACUAGGCAACUAGAAAUGGCCCCUAUGCCCCAGAGCCUGCUGAAGCUAUUAACGCUGGACAGCCUAAGCCUGCCUGCCCUUGCUGUCCCACAGAGACCACAGCAGAGGAUCCUGCCCGUGCCUUCCCCUCUCCUGCCUCUGCCUGGGGCAUCCCUGUGCCUCCUGUUUCUAGGAAUCUGUGAGUAUGAAUAAGACAGUCACUUCCAUGUCUGCAGGUCUUAAUAUCCCUGAUUAAAACAAAAUCUGAGUACAUUUUAAAACAUAAGGCUUCCAAUGGAAUUUUUAAAACCCUUAUAUGGAGAAUUUUAAACAUAUAUGUAAAUAAACAUGAAUAUAACAAACCCCUAUAUAUCUAUAACCCUUCAGAACAACAAGAAGCACAUGGGCAAUUCUGUUCCGUCUAUAUUCCCAAAUAAAAUUCAUACAUUGUGA